GACGAACGCUGGCGGCGUGCUUAACACAUGCAAGUCGAACGGAAAGGCCCUGCUUUUGUGGGGUGCUCGAGUGGCGAACGGGUGUGUAACACGUGAGUAACCUGCCCUUGACUUUGGGAUAACUUCAGGAAACUGGGGCUAAUACCGGAUAGGAGCUCCUGCUGCAUGGUGGGGGUUGGAAAGUUUCGGCGGUUGGGGAUGGACUCGCGGCUUAUCAGCUUGUUGGUGGGGUAGUGGCUUACCAAGGCUUUGACGGGUAGCCGGCCUGAGAGGGUGACCGGCCACAUUGGGACUGAGAUACGGCCCGGACUCCUACGGGAGGCAGAAGUGGGGAAUAUUGCACAAUGGGCGGAAGCCUGAUGCAGCAACGCCGGGGGCGGGAUGACGGCCUUCGGGUGGUAAACCGCUUUCGCCUGUGACGAAGCGUGAGUGACGGUAAUGGGUAAAGAAGCACCGGCUAACUACGUG
rnacentral:rRNA from 1 species